rnacentral:pre_miRNA from 1 species
AAAAAGACAAAUAUUGGGUUUCCGUGUCCAACGUUUAACCGUCCGUCUUAUUUAAAAAAAUUAUGAAAAAAAUUAAAAAGACAAGUCACAUAAAGUAUUAUCAUGUUUUAUCAUCUAACAAUAAUGAAAAUACUAAUUAUAAAAAAAUUUCAUAUAAGACGAACAGUUAAACGUUAGACACGGAAAUCCAGGGUUUAUCAUUUU